rnacentral:rRNA from 1 species
UGGGGAAUAUUGCACAAUGGGCGGAAACCUGAUGCAGCGACGCCGCGUGGGGGAUGAAGGCCUUCGGGUUGUAAACUCCUUUCGACAGGGACGAAGCUUUUGUGACGGUACCUGUAUAAGAAGCACCGGCUAACUACGUGCCAGCAGCCGCGGUAAUACGUAGGGUGCGAGCGUUGUCCGGAAUUACUGGGCGUAAAGAGCUCGUAGGUGGUUUGUCGCGUCGUCUGUGAAAUUCCGGGGCUUAACUCCGGGCGUGCAGGCGAUACGGGCUGACUUGAGUGCUGUAGGGGAGACUGGAAUUCCUGGUGUAGCGGUGAAAUGCGCAGAUAUCAGGAGGAACACCGAUGGCGAAGGCAGGUCUCUGGGCAGUAACUGACGCUGAGGAGCGAAAGCAUGGGUAGCGAACAGG